rnacentral:rRNA from 1 species
AUGUGCGGCAUCCUCGCCGUCCUCGGCGUCGGCGACGUCUCCCUCGCCAAGCGCUCCCGCAUCAUCGAGCUCUCCCGCCGAUUACGGCACAGAGGCCCUGAUUGGAGUGGUAUACACAGCUUUGAGGAUUGCUAUCUUGCGCACCAGCGGUUGGCUAUUGUUGAUCCUACAUCUGGAGACCAGCCACUGUACAACGAGGACAAAACAGUUGUUGUGACGGUGAAUGGCGAGAUCUAUAAUCAUGAAGAACUGAAAGCUAAGCUGAAAUCUCAUCAGUUCCAAACUGGUAGUGAUUGUGAAGUUAUUGCUCACCUAUAUGAGGAAUAUGGGGAAGAAUUUGUGGAUAUGUUGGAUGGCAUGUUCUCGUUUGUGCUUCUUGACACACGUGAUAAAAGCUUCAUCGCUGCACGCGAUGCUAUUGGUAUCUGUCCCUUAUACAUGGGCUGGGGUCUUGAUGGGUCAGUAUGGUUUUCUUCAGAGAUGAAGGCGUUGAGUGAUGAUUGUGAGCGCUUCAUAUCGUUCCCCCCUGGGCACUUGUACUCAAGCAAAGCAGGUGGCCUAAGGAGGUGGUACAACCCCCCGUGGUUUUCAGAAAGCAUUCCCUCAACCCCUUACGAUCCUCUCCUCAUCCGAGAGAGUUUUGAGAAGGCUGUUAUUAAGAGGCUCAUGACUGAUGUGCCAUUUGGCGUUCUCUUGUCUGGUGGACUUGACUCUUCUUUGGUGGCUUCAGUUGUUUCACGGCACUUGGCAGAAACAAAAGUUGCCAGGCAGUGGGGAAACCAACUGCACACCUUUUGCAUCGGUUUGAAGGGUUCUCCUGAUCUUAAAGCUGCUAAGGAAGUUGCUGACUACCUUGGCACUGUCCAUCAUGAAUUACACUUCACAGUGCAGGAGGGCAUUGAUGCAUUGGAAGAAGUUAUUUACCACAUAGAGACGUACGACGUAACGACCAUUAGAGCAAGUACCCCAAUGUUUCUAAUGUCUCGGAAAAUCAAAUCAUUGGGUGUGAAGAUGGUUCUUUCAGGAGAAGGUUCUGAUGAAAUAUUUGGUGGUUAUCUUUAUUUUCAUAAGGCACCAAACAAGAAGGAACUCCAUGAGGAGACGUGUAGGAAGAUAAAAGCUCUUCAUUUAUAUGAUUGUUUGAGAGCAAACAAAGCAACUUCUGCCUGGGGUCUUGAGGCUCGUGUUCCAUUUCUUGACAAAAGCUUUAUCAAUGUAGCAAUGGACCUGGAUCCUGAAUGUAAGAUGAUAAGACGUGAUCUUGGCCGGAUAGAGAAAUGGGUUCUGCGUAAUGCAUUUGAUGACGAGGAGAAGCCCUAUUUACCCAAGCACAUUCUUUAUAGGCAAAAGGAACAAUUCAGCGAUGGUGUUGGGUACAGUUGGAUUGAUGGGUUGAAGGACCAUGCUAAAGCACAUGUGUCGGAUUCCAUGAUGACGAACGCCAGCUUUGUUUACCCUGACAACACACCCACAACAAAAGAGGCCUACUAUUACAGGACCGUAUUCGAGAAGUUCUAUCCCAAGAAUGCUGCUAGGCUAACGGUGCCAGGAGGUCCCAGCAUCGCAUGCAGCACCGCUAAAGCUGUCGAAUGGGACGCCGCCUGGUCCGAGCUCCUCGACCCGUCUGGCCGCGCCGCUCUUGGCGUGCAUGAUGCGGCGUACGAAGAGAAGGCUCCUGCAUCGGUCGAUCCUGUCGUGGAUAACGUCUCCCGUUCACCUGCACAUGACGUCAAAAGGCUCAAAACCGCCAUUUCAGCAGCUGCUGUAUAA